rnacentral:lncRNA from 13 species
AGUGCCGAGAAUAUUUCUCUGCCUGUUUUUAAGGGUUCUUACCCCCCUGAACAACACUGUUUUAACUUCAAACCUUGGAAAAAAUUACCAACAGUCCGACAAGAACUAGAAAAUACAGUGGUGUGAAUUAGGUGAUAGACUACUAUGUAAGAUUGUCACAAGGUGAAAAAUUUAGAGGUUUUGGGCUUCUCUUUGUAGUAAAUAGAUAAGAGUAAAAAAUAUCAAAAUGGAGGAUUGUUGUUGUUCUCUAAACCUUCUUCUCCUUCUUCUAAUACUCCAUAUUCUUCAGUAAAAGUAGUUUGGAUUGACUGGAUAGAGAAUUCCGCAGUUCCUAGUCGUGUUACUGAAUAAUUGGUAAGAAAGUGAAAAUAAUAUACGUUUUUAGUAACUAUUGGUUAAAAUGUCUUUAAAAGGCUGUGUAAAUCUUGAUAAUUGCUCUCUCUCGCUCUCACUCCUACUUUGCCUCCUUCCAUGCUGUACCUGGGUCACGCUAGUGGCUCAGUUCCUCUGAUAAGACUUAAUAAACAACUAUCUAGAAGCAUUGAAACUACAGAAGACGUCUCGCUUUAUCUUUUAAACUCCUUGUAAGGACUUUCAGCAAAUUCUCUCCCAUCAGGAGAGAUUUGAUUUAUGGCAUGGUAAAGUGUCACUGAGGUUGUGCCAUGUUUGACAGGACAAGAGGAAACAGCCUCAAGCUGCGCUAGAGGAGUUCAGGUUGGACAUCAGGAGCAAUUUCUUCUGUGGAAGCAUUGAGAAACAUUGGAAGGGAGGUGGUGGAGUCCCCAACCCUGGAGGUGUCCAAGGAACAUGUGGACGUGGCACUCGGUGCUGUGGUCUGGUUGACACAGUGGGGAUCAAUCACAGGUUGGACUCAAUGACCUUGGAAUUCUUUUCCAACCUCAGUGGUCCUGUGAUUCUGUGUUUGAGGGGUUUUCUCUGUGCACAUCAAAUGCAUUCCCUUGGAAUGAAAUGAGCUUGGAAGAAGUCCAGGAGGACACCUGACCCACGCCAGGUACAAAUUCAGCCCGUGGAACCAGGCUAGCAAAGGCAAAGUCACCUGAAACAUGUGUAAAGGGAGGCAUCAGGUCCCUCAUCAUGCAGGGUGUCUGCAGGGGGCUAUUUUUUCAACCAAUAUAGAAUGAUUGGCAGAUGACUAAAAAUAUGAAUAGUGUCAUUUUUUCCAGCUUCCAGCUGUCUAAUGAUUUUAUGUAGGGGUUGAUUCUGAUUUCAUACACAUAUUGGACCAAUAAAAUUGCACUGCUGUUAGUUAAUGCAGGUCAUCUUUUGUGGGGGAAAAACCAGAACUGUGGUUCCAACCCUUCUGUUUGAAAUUGCUGUGGACUCUUCCUCCACUUUUGCAAUGUUUCCAUAUCAGCACGAUUUUACUGAAUUCUAUCGAGCUACACUGUGUUAAGACUCAGUGUCAGAAUAGAAAAUCAGUAUUUAAUGAAGAAGCCCAUUAGGGAAAAAUAUCUUUUAGGUUUACAGAACUGCAGCGUUAAAGACAGAAAAUUUUCAGGUAAU